AACAUGUUUAUAACACAGGUACUGAACAGGUGGAACAGACAACACAGGUACUGAACAGGUGGAACAGACAACACAGGUACUGAACAGGCAGAACAGACAACACAGGUACUGAACAGGUGUAACAGACAACACAGGUACUGAACAGGUGUAACAGACAACACAGGUACUGAACAGGUGUAACAGACAACACAGGUACUGAACAGGUGUAACAGACAACACAGGUACUGAACAGGUGUAACAGACAACACAGGUGUAACAGACAACACAGGUGUAACAGACAGCACAGGUACUGAACAGGUGGAACAGACAACACAGGUACUGAACAGGCAGAACAGACAACACAGGUGUAACAGACAACACAGGUGGAACAGACAACACAGGUACUGAACAGGUGGAACAGACAACACAGGUACUGAACAGGCAGAACAGACAACACAGGUGUAACAGACAACACAGGUGGAACAGACAACACAGGUACUGAACAGGUGGAACAGACAACACAGGUACUGAACAGGCAGAACAGACAACACAGGUACUGAACAGGCGGAACAGACAACACAGGUACUGAACAGGUGGAACAGACAACACAGGUACUGAACAGGCGGAACAGACAACACAGGUACUGAACAGGCAGAACAGACAACACAGGUGGAACAGACAACACAGAUACUGAACAGGCAGAACAGACAACACAGGUGGAACAGACAACACAGGUACUGAACAGGUGGAACAGACAACACAGGUACUGAACAGGCAGAACAGACAACACAGGUACUGAACAGGCAGAACAGACAACACAGGUACUGAACAGGUGGCACAGACAACACAGGUACUGAACAGGCGGAACAGACAACACAGGUACUGAACAGGUGGAACAGACAACACAGGUACUGAACAGGCAGAACAGACAACACAGGUGGAACAGACAACACAGGUACUGAACAGGUGGAACAGACAACACAGGUACUGAACAGGCAGAACAGACAACACAGGUACUGAACAGGCGGAACAGACAACACAGGUACUGAACAGGUGGCACAGACAACACAGGUACUGAACAGGCAGAACAGACAACACAGAUACUGAACAGACAACACAGGUACUGAACAGACAACACAGAUACUGAACAGACAACACAGGUACUGAACAGGUGUAACAGUCGAACGACACAGGUACCUACCAUCCAGCAUGCUUCUAAUGCCCAACUCCAAAACGAACCUUCAUUCCCAGUCUCUCCCCCCAGCUCCUAACCCUCCCCUCCAUCCAUGUCACCUUUCUGUUGGUAGAGGUUAUCCUCAGA